AAGUCGUAACAAGGUUUCCGUAGGUGAACCUGCGGAAGGAUCAUUAACACGUAUCCACGUAUCAACCAACCGCGAACUUGUUUUCAAAUCUCCCUUUAGAGCACAUGAAUGGGGCACUGGAUCAUACUGAGUUUUGAUUGGGACUUUUCUUUGAAGAGUCGGCUCAGGUCCACGAUAGAGGAAGGGAUUUAUUUCCUGAAAUCGACCAUUGUAGUGUAAUAAAGGCUAACCCUUCUGCUAUCGGAACCUCCAUUCAAGGCGAGGAUAGCGGAUACUAACUUCACAUAUUUAACCCCCUUUUUGCUAGUUGACUUUAUUAUGUUGUUAUCAUCUUGAUUAAUUUCUCGGUGGUCUCACACGUUUAAUUACUUAAACGAUAGAACAACUCUUAGCAAUGGAUAUCUUGGUUCUC
rnacentral:misc_RNA from 1 species